CAAGGUGUUUUUGAUGCUUUCUUAACGCCGUUAACCUCGAUGCACUUUUUCGCUCGAAACAAAACGGCAAGAAAAUCAUGCGCGCCCCACGGCCUUACACUUGGAUUGGCCGCGAAAAGGAUAUAUAGAAACGAGAGUGAUGUACUGUCGGGUGCGAUCAUACCAGCACUAAUGCACCGGAUCCCAUCAGAACUCCGCAGUUAAGCGUGCUUGGGCGAGAGUAGUACUAGGAUGGGUGACCUCCCGGGAAGUCCUCGUGUUGCACCCCUUUUAUUUUACCAGCACUUAAUUUUUUUUAGCCUAAAACGAGUCUAAACUUGAAAACCCCAUAACUUUUGAACCGUGAGGAACUACGUCGCCCAUAGCACCAUUUCGGAAAGCCCCAGAAACCAUAAUGGCGGUGAAUAGGGGGCGCAAUUUUUCGGGCUCAAAUUCAGCCGUUUUGACCCUCAAACGGGCUGCGGAAAGUUAUGGCACGUAAAAAAGAUCGAAAGCGGAUUCUCAAGGUGUUUUUGAUGCUUUCUUAACGCCGUUAACCUCGAUGCACUUUUUCGCUCGAAACAAAACGGCAAAAAAAUCAUGUGGGCCCCACGGCCUUACACUUGGAUUGGCCGCGAAAAGGAUAUAUAGAAACGAGAGUGAUGUACUGACGGGUGCGAUCAUACCAGCACUAAUGCACCGGAUCCCAUCAGAACUCCGCAGUGAAGCGUGCUUGGGCGAGAGUAGUACUAGGAUGGGUGACCUCCCGGGAAGUCCUCGUGUUGCACCCCUUUUUAUUUUAUAAUUUUUUUUUAGCCUAAAACGAGUCUAAACUUGAAAACCUCAUAACUUUUGAACCGUGAGGAACUACGUCGCCCAUAGCACCAUUUCGGAAAGCCCCAGAAACCAUAAUGGGCGGUGAAUAGGGGGCGCAAUUUUUCGGGCUCAAAUUCAGCCGUUUUGACCCUCAAACGGGCUGCGGAAAGUUAUGGCACGUAAAAAAGAUCGAAAGCGGAUUCUCAAGGUGUUUUUGAUGCUUUCUUAACGCCGUUAACCUCGAUGCACUUUUUCGCUCGAAACAAAACGGCAAGAAAAUCAUGUGGGCCCCACGGCCUUACACUUGGAUUGGCCGCGAAAAGGAUAUAUAGAAACGAGAGUGAUGUACUGACGGGUGCGAUCAUACCAGCACUAAUGCACCGGAUCCCAUCAGAACUCCGCAGCUAAGCGUGCUUGGGCGAGAGUAGUACUAGGAUGGGUGACCUCCCGGGAAGUCCUCGUGUUGCACCCCUUUUAUUUUUUAAUUUUUUUUAGCCUAAAACGAGUCUAAACUUGAAAACCCCAUAACUUUUGAACCGUGAGAAACUACGUCGCCCAUAGCACCAUUUCGGAAAGCCCCAGAAACCAUAAUGGGCGGUGAAUAGGGGGCGCAAUUUUUCGGGCUCAAAUUCAGCCGUUUUGACCCUCAAACGGGCUGCGGAAAGUUAUGGCACGUAAAAAAGAUCGAAAGCGGAUUCUCAAGGUGUUUUGAUGCUUUCUUAACGCCGUUAACCUCGAUGCACUUUUUCGCUCGAAACAAAACGGCAAGAAAAUCAUGCGCGGCCCCACGGCCUUACACUUGGAUUGGCCGCGAAAAGGAUAUAUAGAAACGAGAGUGAUGUACUGACGGGUGCGAUCAUACCAGCACUAAUGCACCGGAUCCCAUCAGAACUCCGCAGUUAAGCGUGCUUGGGCGAGAGUAGUACUAGGAUGGGUGACCUCCCGGGAAGUCCUCGUGUUGCACCCCUUUUUAUUUUUAAUUUUUUUUUAGCCUAAAACGAGUCUAAACUUGAAAACCUCAUAACUUUUGAACCGUGAGGAACUACGUCGCCCAUAGCACCAUUUCGGAAAGCCCCAGAAACCAUAAUGGGCGGUGAAUAGGGGGCGCAAUUUUUCGGGCUCAAAUUCAGCCGUUUUGACCCUCAAACGGGCUGCGGAAAGUUAUGGCACGUAAAAAAGAUCGAAAGCGGAUUCUCAAGGUGUUUUUGAUGCUUUCUUAACGCCGUUAACCUCGAUGCACUUUUUCGCUCGAAACAAAACGGCAAGAAAAUCAUGCGCGCCCCACGGCCUUACACUUGGAUUGGCCGCGAAAAGGAUAUAUAGAAACGAGAGUGAUGUACUGACGGGUGCGAUCAUACCAGCACUAAUGCACCGGAUCCCAUCAGAACUCCGCAGUUAAGCGUGCUUGGGCGAGAGUAGUACUAGGAUGGGUGACCUCCCGGGAAGUCCUCGUGUUGCACCCCUUUUAUUUUUAAUUUUUUUUUAGCCUAAAACGAGUCUAAACUUGAAAACCUCAUAACUUUUGAACCGUGAGGAACUACGUCGCCCAUAGCACCAUUUCGGAAAGCCCCAGAAACCAUAAUGGGCGGUGAAUAGGGGGCGCAAUUUUUCGGGCUCAAAUUCAGCCGUUUUGACCCUCAAACGGGCUGCGGAAAGUUAUGGCACGUAAAAAAGAUCGAAAGCGGAUUCUCAAGGUGUUUUUGAUGCUUUCUUAACGCCGUUAACCUCGAUGCACUUUUUCGCUCGAAACAAAACGGCAAGAAAAUCAUGUGCGGCCCACGGCCUUACACUUGGAUUGGCCGCGAAAAGGAUAUAUAGAAACGAGAGUGAUGUACUGACGGGUGCGAUCAUACCAGCACUAAUGCACCGGAUCCCAUCAGAACUCCGCAGUGAAGCGUGCUUGGGCGAGAGUAGUACUAGGAUGGGUGACCUCCCGGGAAGUCCUCGUGUUGCACCCCUUUUUAUUUUUAUUUUUUUUUUAGCCUAAAACGAGUCUAAACUUGAAAACCUCAUAACUUUUGAACCGUGAGGAACUACGUCGCCCAUAGCACCAUUUCGGAAAGCCCCAGAAACCAUAAUGGGCGGUGAAUAGGGGGCGCAAUUUUUCGGGCUCAAAUUCAGCCGUUUUGACCCUCAAACGGGCUGCGGAAAGUUAUGGCACGUAAAAAAGAUCGAAAGCGGAUUCUCAAGGUGUUUUUGAUGCUUUCUUAACGCCGUUAACCUCGAUGCACUUUUUCGCUCGAAACAAAACGGCAAGAAAAUCAUGUGGGCCCCACGGCCUUACACUUGGAUUGGCCGGGGAAAGGAUAUAUAGAAACGAGAGUGAUGUACUGACGGGUGCGAUCAUACCAGCACUAAUGCACCGGAUCCCAUCAGAACUCCGCAGUGAAGCGUGCUUGGGCGAGAGUAGUACUAGGAUGGGUGACCUCCCGGGAAGUCCUCGUGUUGCACCCCUUUUUAUUUUAUAAUUUUUUUUUAGCCUAAAACGAGUCUAAACUUGAAAACCUCAUAACUUUUGAACCGUGAGGAACUACGUCGCCCAUAGCACCAUUGAGAAAGCCCCAGAAACCAUAAUGGGCGGUGAAUAGGGGGCGCAAUUUUUCGGGCUCAAAUUCAGCCGUUUUGACCCUCAAACGGGCUGCGGAAAGUUAUGGCACGUAAAAAAGAUCGAAAGCGGAUUCUCAAGGUGUUUUUGAUGCUUUCUUAACGCCGUUAACCUCGAUGCACUUUUUCGCUCGAAACAAAACGGCAAGAAAAUCAUGCGCGCCCCACGGCCUUACACUUGGAUUGGCCGCGAAAAGGAUAUAUAGAAACGAGAGUGAUGUACUGACGGGUGCGAUCAUACCAGCACUAAUGCACCGGAUCCCAUCAGAACUCCGCAGUUAAGCGUGCUUGGGCGAGAGUAGUAGUACUAGGAUGGGUGACCUCCCGGGAAGUCCUCGUGUUGCACCCCUUUUUAUUUUUUAAUUUUUUUUUAGCCUAAAACGAGUCUAAACUUGAAAACCUCAUAACUUUUGAACCGUGAGGAACUACGUCGCCCAUAGCACCAUUUCGGAAAGCCCCAGAAACCAUAAUGGGCGGUGAAUAGGGGGCGCAAUUUUUCGGGCUCAAAUUCAGCCGUUUUGACCCUCAAACGGGCUGCGGAAAGUUAUGGCACGUAAAAAAGAUCGAAAGCGGAUUCUCAAGGUGUUUUUGAUGCUUUCUUAACGCCGUUAACCUCGAUGCACUUUUUCGCUCGAAACAAAACGGCAAGAAAAUCAUGCGCGCCCACGGCCUUACACUUGGAUUGGCCGCGAAAAGGAUAUAUAGAAACGAGAGUGAUGUACUGACGGGUGCGAUCAUACCAGCACUAAUGCACCGGAUCCCAUCAGAACUCCGCAGCUAAGCGUGCUUGGGCGAGAGUAGUACUAGGAUGGGUGACCUCCCGGGAAGUCCUCGUGUUGCACCCCUUUUAUUUUUUAAUUUUUUUUUAGCCUAAAACGAGUCUAAACUUGAAAACCCCAUAACUUUUGAACCGUGAGGAACUACGUCGCCCAUAGCACCAUUUCGGAAAGCCCCAGAAACCAUAAUGGGCGGUGAAUAGGGGGCGCAAUUUUUCGGGCUCAAAUUCAGCCGUUUUGACCCUCAAACGGGCUGCGGAAAGUUAUGGCACGUAAAAAAGAUCGAAAGCGGAUUCUCAAGGUGUUUUUGAUGCUUUCUUAACGCCGUUAACCUCGAUGCACUUUUUCGCUCGAAACAAAACGGCAAGAAAAUCAUGCGCGCCCCACGGCCUUACACUUGGAUUGGCCGCGAAAAGGAUAUAUAGAAACGAGAGUGAUGUACUGACGGGUGCGAUCAUACCAGCACUAAUGCACCGGAUCCCAUCAGAACUCCGCAGUUAAGCGUGCUUGGGCGAGAGUAGUACUAGGAUGGGUGACCUCCCGGGAAGUCCUCGUGUUGCACCCCUUUUUAUUUUUUAAUUUUUUUUUAGCCUAAAACGAGUCUAAACUUGAAAACCUCAUAACUUUUGAACCGUGAGGAACUACGUCGCCCAUAGCACCAUUUCGGAGAGCCCCAGAAACCAUAAUGGGCGGUGAAUAGGGGGGGCGCAAUUUUUCGGGCUCAAAUUCAGCCGUUUUGACCCUCAAACGGGCUGCGGAAAGUUAUGGCACGUAAAAAAGAUCGAAAGCGGAUUCUCAAGGUGUUUUUGAUGCUUUCUUAACGCCGUUAACCUCGAUGCACUUUUUCGCUCGAAACAAAACGGCAAGAAAAUCAUGCGCGCCCCACGGCCUUACACUUGGAUUGGCCGCGAAAAGGAUAUAUAGAAACGAGAGUGAUGUACUGACGGGUGCGAUCAUACCAGCACUAAUGCACCGGAUCCCAUCAGAACUCCGCAGUUAAGCGUGCUUGGGCGAGAGUAGUACUAGGAUGGGUGACCUCCCGGGAAGUCCUCGUGUUGCACCCCUUUUUAUUUUUAAUUUUUUUUUAGCCUAAAACGAGUCUAAACUUGAAAACCUCAUAACUUUUGAACCGUGAGGAACUACGUCGCCCAUAGCACCAUUUCGGAGAGCCCCAGAAACCAUAAUGGGCGGUGAAUAGGGGGCGCAAUUUUUCGGGCUCAAAUUCAGCCGUUUUGACCCUCAAACGGGCUGCGGAAAGUUAUGGCACGUAAAAAAGAUCGAAAGCGGAUUCUCAAGGUGUUUUUGAUGCUUUCUUAACGCCGUUAACCUCGAUGCACUUUUUCGCUCGAAACAAAACGGCAAGAAAAUCAUGCGCGCCCCACGGCCUUACACUUGGAUUGGCCGCGAAAAGGAUAUAUAGAAACGAGAGUGAUGUACUGACGGGUGCGAUCAUACCAGCACUAAUGCACCGGAUCCCAUCAGAACUCCGCAGUUAAGCGUGCUUGGGCGAGAGUAGUACUAGGAUGGGUGACCUCCCGGGAAGUCCUCGUGUUGCACCCCUUUUUAUUUUUUAAUUUUUUUUAGCCUAAAACGAGUCUAAACUUGAAAACCUCAUAACUUUUGAACCGUGAGGAACUACGUCGCCCAUAGCACCAUUUCGGAGAGCCCCAG
rnacentral:lncRNA from 1 species